UUCCCAAUUCUGACCCAUAGAAUUGUAAACCCCAAUCAACUUGAAUGUGCACAUAACAAAAUGCUGACAGAGGAAAGAAAUACAGAGUGGAAGUGGAGCACUAAGAGCAUUACCUUAGCCAUCCAAUCUUUUACUUCUUUGAUUCCACGAUUCCGAGAUAAUGCCACCACGUAUAUUUCCAUUCUGUUGCAGGUACUUAGAACAG